rnacentral:rRNA from 1 species
AACGAACGCUGGCGGCAUGCCUAACACAUGCAAGUCGAACGAGACCUUCGGGUCUAGUGGCGCACGGGUGCGUAACGCGUGGGAACCUGCCUUUAGGUUCGGAAUAACUCAGAGAAAUUUGAGCUAAUACCGGAUGAUGUCUUCGGACCAAAGAUUUAUCGCCUUUAGAUGGGCCCGCGUUGGAUUAGCUAGUUGGUGGGGUAAAGGCCUACCAAGGCGACGAUCCAUAGCUGGUCUGAGAGGAUGAUCAGCCACACUGGGACUGAGACACGGCCCAGACUCCUACGGGAGGCAGCAGUGGGGAAUAUUGGACAAUGGGCGAAAGCCUGAUCCAGCAAUGCCGCGUGAGUGAUGAAGGCCUUAGGGUUGUAAAGCUCUUUUACCCGAGAUGAUAAUGACAGUAUCGGGAGAUUAAGCUCCGGCUAACUCCGUG